ensembl:lncRNA
GAGUACAGUUGACUUACAAUACUGUGUUACAGAAAUGACUAUCUUCAUCAGUCAUUUAAUAGAUGAAGGAGGGAGAAGCUGAUAUUGCUGGUGGCUCAGGACCGAGGGAGGGUUUUCUUUGUAUGCAAAAGGCUGGGGGUUGUUUAAAAGCCUCGGGGAGAGUCUGGAGAGUGAGAGGCUGGAAGGAUGGGGGUAAGGUGGGAGGAGCGGGUAGAUAAAUUGAUGUGGGAGAGGUCUGGAGCCCUGGAGGAGAGGCCAGCGGGGAAGGAAGGCAGGUGGAGACUUUCGAGUGGAGAGCAGGGAGGUUCCUGGGAAACUUCUUCCCCAAGAAGAAGCUGAAGUCAUCUGCUGAGUCAUGGGAGGAGGAGGGGAAGAGGCUGGUGAACAGGCUGAAGGCACAGGGCCCUGCCACCCUUGCAUCUUGCUCCCGUAACUCUGAUCUCUGGGCCAACACUUCAACCUCGGGAGGAAGACGGGAUGAUUUGGGCCUCCUGAACUUCACAACCAGAGAAGAGGAAGCCAAGGGCUUGAGCAAAGGGGAGUGUGGCCACGGUAUUCCCCUGCCAUGUACUUGCUUUGUCCACUGGGUCACGCAGGUGGCUAAGAACAGGCAGCAGGCAGAGUAGGGGCCGCCGUAAUUCCCCAGGCGCUGAAGGUCCUGGGGCUACUCCUGGGGCAGGGAAAGAUCAAGGAGGAGGCCGCGAGGCAGGCAAAAAAAAAAAAAAAAAGAAAAGAGAAAUAAACAGAGACAGAGGGACAAGGAUCCGACAGGACAGAGAGACAGACAGGAAAGCAGGAUGGCUGAGACAGAAUCGUGGAGAGAAGGUGCUGAGCUCACUGGCCACGUGCCCAUGGCUCAUUCCGGAAGCUGCUGGGAUGGACCCAAUCAGUGCAAGAUGGACGGCUGUUCUGGGAAGGCAGAGGCCGCCAGGCCAGGCAGCCACAGCAUCCCUUCCAUCUGCACCACCUGCUGCAGGAAGCCCAGUCAGGUGACUCUUGCUGAAGACUGAUGAGUGCCCCCAGGGUUUCCUCAAGGGCAGCAGGAAGUGGGAGAAGAAGGGGUCUGCUUUGGAGGCAUGAACACAGCACUCCCCCCCAACCCCAGUCUGCCUCUCACUAACUGUGAGGUCUGGCAGCCAUUAACCUCCCUUCAUCGCCAUCAGUAAGAUGGAAAGAGCCACCCAAUGCUCAGCGGUUGUGACAUGUCUUCACCUGCCCCACAGGGUCCUGAGUAACCUGGGCGUCAAGGCUGUCCUUCAGGUCUCACAAGAACUUGGAGGCAACUGAUGUCUUCUGUUCCUGGCAUCGUUUGAGGAGAGUUCCAAAAAUCUGGCCAAGCCGUUUGGGCCAGAGGUGCAUCAUAUCUGGCGGGUGAGACAAAUAAAGACAUGUGAUGAGAAGACGAGCCCAGGAUGCUGGGAAGGGACAUCAAGGG